rnacentral:lncRNA from 1 species
CAGUAGUUCUCACGUCCAGUUGUUCCUUUUCGUUUUGCAGAGCCGUCGUCGUCGGCUCCUGCUGAUCUUGAUCGUGGCAAGGGCGUCGCGAGUUAGAGCCCUACCAGACCAGAGCUAGUGGAGUACCAGUUACAGGCAGUUGUAGUUUUUGGUUCAUUGCAUACUGAUGUUAUACCUCGCUGGAGUGCGUGUUUUUGUACGAGGAUACUGUGUAUGUACUGAUCCAUUUUUAUUACAUACUCAUGUUCUUUUUUCUAGCAGUUCUAUACUACUGGUUGUAGUGUUGUAUUAUUACAGGUACAGUUACAGCUUCGCUUCGUAUACGAAAAAAUUCCUAUGUAUACGGCGGGUUUGUUGGCAUGCCCGAAGAAACGAGUAAUCCAGGGCGUGACAGAUUAAGUUGGUAUCAGAGCUUAGUAUUAGGUCGUUGGGACCUAGGAAAGCUAAGUUUGGCAAACCUUAGGAAGGCAAGACGCGAGAGGCAUGAUUUAUCGCGAAAGUCAAUGAUUAAUUAUUUUAACUACUCCUAGAGUGGAGUGAGUGAUUCGAGGAGUUCCUGUUUUGGCCUGUAAAAUUAUGUUGGCUGCAGACGACAUAAUUUUGAGGAGAAACAGGGGCCGCCUUCUGAACUUUCGUUUGAUUGGGUCGAGAGUGAUUAUAUUUUAUCUGACCCUGUUUUGUUCUUUGCAGUUACAGCUAUGUAUCGUCGCCGAGGUCGACCGUCGCUGCGGGAGCGUGCCCAGUUGACGCAGGAUCGUGCGGGACCUUCCGUGAUGCCGGAGCAAGCGGAGGCGAGUGUACCUCCUGUUGUGGAGCAGAGUGUUCUACCGGAGGCGAGUGCAUCCCCUAACUUGGGUGCACAGAUAGCCAUCCUGACAGAGGUGACGAGGCGGCAGAGGGAGUUGUAGGAGAGGUUGUGCGAGAGGGUAGCUCCGCCAUAGAGUACAGUACUGAGAGCACCAGAGCCGGCUGUUCCACCCCCGACUACUUCAGCCGCAGCACCAGCCGCAGCCGUACCCCCACCAGAGGAUAUUCCCGCAGCGCCGGUUGCGCCUUAUAGAGGGCCAGGACAGUUGACCGAGGCCGAGCAGGAGCGGAUGACCAAGAGUUUGGCUCGUUUUCGUCGUUUUGAUUCGCCGAUCUUCGAUGGCAGUGGUACUGAGGCUUGGGUUGUUGAGGGCUGGGUCAGUGCGAUGGAGAAGUUAUUUGAGGAUCUGUUCAUUCCUAAAAGGGAGCAGGUAUCUUUGGGCGUCCAUUGCUUGGCAGGCGAUGCACAUGCCUGGUGGAGGAGAGUGGGGCGAGAUCAGGGACUGGUAGCGUUGCAGCUGAGAUGGGAUGAGUUCUGUGGAAUGCUGUAUGCAAUGUAUUUUUCCAACAGUAUGAAACAAAAGCUCGAUGAGGAUUUGAAGAGGAUUUAGCAGGGGCCUCGGCCAGUGCAGGAGUACAUUCGGGAGUUUACUUGACUUCUGAACUGUGUGCCGUUUGUGGCCAGGGACGAGGCACACAGGGUUUAUCUAUUUGAGCAAGGGCUGAGAUCCGACAUCUUCAGGUUUGUGCGGGCGCAGAGGUCGAAGACCCUGGAUGCGUCCAUAGAGCAGGUCUUAUGGGUGGAGAGAGGUGAGGUGUCGCUUCAGGAAAGGACUCAGGCAGCGGGACAGAGUCAGGACAGGAAGUGCCUAGCUCCAGACGACGGAGGACAGUUGAGCAGCAGGCGUCUGCCGAGACCACCACGAUUACACUCUCAUGGUUGUAGGUCCUCGGGGCAUCAGCGUUCUGGGGGAUUCCGUUAGCAAAGGCAGUCGCUGGAGUCGCCACAGUGUGUGAUUUGUGGGGGACCACAUGGGGCCCGACAGUGUGAGCAGCGUGAGGGCCGGUAUUUUGGAUGUGGACAGCCAGGGCAUAUGAGAUUAGCUUGUCCCCGAGCAGCAUCUCCAGCACCAUCUACGGCCUCAGCGCAGCCAGCAUCUCAGCAGUCUUUUGGAGCAGCUCCGAGUUUCCGCCAGGGGGACAGAUCGUCUGUGCCGCGUCAGAGUGAGCGGCGACAGCAGGCUCCGAGUGGCAGGGUCUAUGCAGCCUAGGUGGAGGACUCUACAGUAGCCGACCGAGUGGUGGCAGGUAUUAUUUUGAUUUCUGGCAUUAGAGCUCGUACACUUUUUUAUACCGGUGCAUCGCAUUCCUUUGUAAGCCGAGCAUUUGCAUUAUUACAUGGUCUAGAGUUAGGGUCUUUGUCACAGGCACGAGAGGUGCAGAUCUCCGACCAUGUUUUGCAGGUUGAGAGUGUUGUUGGUCAUGUCCGGUGCAGUUGGAUUCGUGGGUCAUGCCGGUAGACCUGUUGGUGUUAGGACAGCAGCAGGACUUUGACGUAGUGCUUGGCAUGGAUUGGCUGGUGCGGUACUAUGCAACUAUUGAUUGUCGAGCGAGAACGGUGAUGUUCCGCGAGCCAGGCCAGGAGAAGUUCACUUUUAGGCGCUGUAGGAGCACGUUGUUCGCUGCUUGGAUUUCUUCCACGAGGGCUCGACACCUGAUGAGUAGAGGAUGCAUCGCUUUUCUAGCAGCAGUUGUUGAGGUACCUACGGCGGCGCCGGGACUCGAGGAUAUCCAUGUGGUCUGCGAGUUUUCGGAUGUGUUUCUCCCGGAGUUGACGACGAUACCGCCGGAGAGGGAGAUUGAGUUCGUGAUUGAUGUAGUUCCUAGAACUGCACCAAUCUCGAAGGUACCUUAUCGGAUGGCACUGGUUGAACCGAGAGAGCUAAAGGUGCAGCUUCAGGAUCUGAUGGAUAAGGGGUAUGUGAGACCCAGUGUAUCGUCUUGGGGAGCGCCGGUAUUAUUUGUAAAGAAGAAUGAUGGUUCACUCAGGUUAUAUGUGGAUUAUCGGGAGCUGAAUAAAGUGACCAUCUAGAACACGUAUCCUUUGCCGCGCAUCGAUGAUCUGUUUGAUCAGCUGUAAGGAUCUUGUGUCUUCUCAAAGAUUGACCUCCAGUCCGGUUACCACCAGCUGAGGGUGAGGGCCGAGGAUGUUCCCAAGACGGCUUUUCGGACUCGGUACGGGCAUUAUGAGUUCACGGUGAUGUCUUUUGGAUUGACCAAUGCCCCUGCCGCAUUUAUGAAUUUGAUAAACAGAGCGUUCAAGCCGUUCUUGGAUAGAUUUGUGGUAGUUUUCAUCGACGAUAUCUUGAUAUACUCCUGGAGUGACACCGAGCAUAAGGACCACUUGAGAAUUGUGAUACAACUUCUGAUGCCAAGUUGAAAAAGUGCGAGUUCUGGUUGCGGGAGGUUGCUUUCUUGGGCCACGUGAUUUCUUCAGAGGGAGUAUAGUGAACCCGAAGAAGAUUAAUGCUAUUCGGGAUUGGCCCAGACCGACGACGGUGACUGGAGUGAGGAUUUUCCUGGGACUGGCAGGAUAUUACCGUCAGUUUGUGGAAGGCUUUGCGAAGAUUUCCACACCCCUCACUCGAUUGACUCGAAAGGGGAUUCAGUUCAUCUGGAGUAAGGAUUGUUAGAGGAGUUUCGAUGAGUUGAGACAGAGGUUGACGUCGGCUCCUAUCCUUGCCCUUUCUGUGAUGGGGGAAGGAUUUGUGAUCUACAGUGAUGCAUCGCACAGUAGUUUGGGCUGUGUGCUGAUGUAGCAUGGUAGGGUAAUUCCUUAUGCUUCACGGCAGUUAAAGGAUUACAAGAAGACUUACCCUACGCAUGACUUGGAGCUUGCCGCUGUAGUCUUUGCUUUGAAAUUGUGGCGGCAUUACUUAUACGGCGAGCACUGUGAGGUUUUCACCGAUAAUAAAAGUCUCAAGUAUCUGUUCACCCAGAGGGAGUUGAACCUGAGGCAACGCCGGUGGUUGGAGUCACUGAAGGGCUAUGAUGUUAGGAUUCAGUAUCAUCCCGGUAAGGCGAAUGUAGUGGCAGAUGCGUUGAGCAGGAAGACAGUGCAGAGCUUGACUUUGAUGAUUACUCAGUAGAGGCCAUUACUUGAUGAGCUACAGCGGUUGAGGCUCGAGAUAGUGUCCCCUGGGUCUACUGCAAGGCUGAUGUCUAUAGUCUUACAGCCCACUCUAUUGGAUAGGAUCUGAGAGAAACAGAGUGGAGAUCCGCACUUGUCGAGGAUUCAAGAGCAGCUAGAGAGAGGACAGGCAGAGGACUUUGUUGUGGACAGUUCAGGAGUACUGCGGUAUAGGGACCGACUGUGUGUGCCUGCGGAUUCAGAGAUUCGAGAGGACAUUUUGAGAGAAGCUCAGUGUUCACCUUAUACGGUUCACCCUGGUGGAACCAAGAUGUAUAAGGAUUUGAAGGCACAGUUCUGGUGGAAUGGAAUGAAGAGGGACAUUGGCAGAUAUGUGGCUCAGUGUUUGACUUGCCAACAGGUGAAGGCAGAGCAUCAGGUACCUGCUGGCAAGCUUCAGUGUCUGUCAGUGCCCGAAUGGAAAUGGGAGCAGAUCACGAUGGACUUCGUCGUGGGGUUGCCUAGAGCACAGGGUGGUUUCGAUACUAUUUGGGUGAUAGUGGACAGACUGACCAAGUCUGCUCACUUCCUACCAGUUCAGGCCACCUGGUCCAGAGAGAGGCUCGCGCAGCUAUACCUGGAUGAGGUUGUCAGGCUGCAUGGUGUGCCGGUGUCGAUUGUAUCGGACAGAGACCCGAGGUUUGUUUCGCAUUUCUGGCGGAGUCUUCAGACAGCCUUGGGUACACAGCUACAUUUCAGCAUGGUAUUUCACCCACAGACAGAUGGUCAGUUAGAGAGGACCAUACAGACUCUAGAGGACAUGUUGAGGGCAUGCGUCCUGAACUUUGGAGGAAGGUGGCAUCGAUAUCUGAGACUGGCUGAGUUUGCGUACAACAACAGCUAUCAAACGAGCAUUCAGAUGGCUCCGUUUCAGGCGUUGUAUGGACGCAGAUGUCGAUCCCCUUUGUUUUGGAGUGAUGUGGGUGAAAGGAAGACGCUAGGGCCUGAGAUCUUGCUAGAGGCUGAGGAAAAGGUGAGAGUGGUUCGACGACACCUUUUGACUGCCCAGAGCCGCCAGAGGAGCUACGCCGAUACCAGAAGACGAGACUUGGAGUUCCCGAUUGGAGAUCAUGUUUUUCUCAAAGUCUCGCCGUCCAGAGGGAUUCGCAGAUUUGGGGUGUGUGGAAAGCUCAGUCCACGUUUCGUUGGCCCUUUUGAGGUAUUGGAGCGAGUUCGACCGGUUGCUUAUAGGAUUGCUCUACCUCCCCGACUUGCUGGUAUCCAUGAUGUCUUCCACGUCUCAGCAUUGAGGAGAUAUGUUUUCGAUCAUUCUCAUGUGAUCGACUUCACUCCACUAGAGAUUGGCGAGGAUCUGAGAUACGAGGAGCGACCGUUGCGGAUUCUUACUCGGGAGACGAAAGAAUUGCGCAAUCGGGUCAUCCCGUAUAUAAAAGUAGAGUGGAGUAAUCACGAGGAGGGGGAGGCGACUUGGGAGCCUGAGACGGUGAUGAGGGAGUCCUAUCCCUACCUUUUUGAGGCUUAGAGCUGAGGUACGCUUAAGUUUCGAGGACGAAACUUUUUGUAGUGUGUGAGGAUGUGGUAUCCCUGGUGUACAGUAGUUGAGGCUUGUCGACAGCUCUGGAGAGUGUCGGGACAAGUCCGAGUCUCGUUGGCGCGAAAUAGACGCAAAACGGACUCAGUAGGGGACGCGAGAGUAGGAGUUCGCUUUGGAAACUGUAAUUGUAGAUUUUUCUGCUUGUUAUACCGGUACAGCAUCAGGGGUGUACCGGUACACAUUUUGUACCGGUACAGCAUCGGAGGUGUACCGGUACACUUUGCCUGUUUCCACGCAGCUGCUCUCGGGUUGCCAUUUGUACCGGUAGAGUUACUCGUGUACCGGUACACCAGGGUAGGUGAGAGGGCUUUUUGGUCUUUUCUCACCUCGUUUGUGUCACCCUCUUCCCCAGCCUAUAUGUUUGCGUAGAGAGGAGCUGAGGGACAGUUUUUCUGCUGGUUUCCUUCCCUCUCUCUCUAGCUUGGACUGAGUGUGGAGGAGCUCUCGGGUGGAGUUGUUUUGUUGCCGACGUCGCGCUGCGGAGCCGUUCGAGCACACGAGCAUUGUGGUGGCUGCAUUGGGAGGCCGAGCGAGCGUGUGAUUCCGCCGUUUCGACGUCGCGCCGGUGUUAGUUUAGCAUUUGAGGUGGGUUUAUUAUCGGAUUUCUACUCCUAAAGUCUCGGUUAACGGCAUGUAUAUUUUGUGUUAUGCAUUUCAUGUGUUAUAGCUCGAAUUCGUGGAUUGUUCAUGUCUUUGACAUCUUAACUGAAUUUGGAGCAUAGUAUUAUUGGUGGUUAAAUUAUACAUGUGAACUUGGAUUUGACUUAGGAGAAAAUCCGCGAAUAUAACCCGUCAUAUGCUUACACUACCAGAUUUAGCUUUAGGAGUCGUUGUUAUUUGGUAUUGCCGCAGUAUCAACGUGGUGGAUACCCCAGGUAGUGUAGAUUGCUGUUACGCUCGUGCUGGGAUGCCGAAACUAUUUUUAUAGUAGUGUUCAGACUGUUCCGGACUGUUGGGGGCCGUCGGGGUUGACGGUAGACUCAGAUUGCCGUGUUGGCAUCAGAUUGUGCCAAGGGUACGUGACUUGUUGGUUGUUAGACCAGUUGGACCAUGUUUCUUGAGUUUAGCCUGUGAGAGCCUGAUUGAGCUCGACAGAGAUACGCUUGCAUAUUCGUUUGGGUCGCGCCCACGAGUGCCACCCCGGAGUUGGGCUUAGUGCUUUUGCGUUGGUGUCGUUGUGUCCUGGUUGGACUUGCUCUCCACUAACUAUCCAGCGUGGUGGUUGUUAGUGUAGCUUCGACAGGCGGGACGGGUGUAUCACAGUCCCUAGUGAGAUUGGGUCAGGAUUUACUUUUACUACAGUUGGUUAGUAUAGAGCAUGAUAGUGUAGGGACAUAUAGAUAUAGAUUGUCUUCCAGCUUUUCCUAUAUCUUUACUUCCUUCUGUAGACUUAGUAGGUGGACUGAUGAUGUUGAGGGCGGCACCCACUAAGGACUACUUGUUUUACAGUAGUUCUUACGUCCAGUUAUUCCUUUUCGCUUUGCAGAGCCGUCGUCGUCAGCUGCUGCUGAUCCUGAUCGUGGCAAGGGCGUCGCGAGUUAGAGCUCUAUCAGACGAGUCAGAGCUAGUGGAGUACCAGCUACAGGUAGUUGUAGUUUUUGGUUCAUUGCAUACUGAUAUUAUACCUCGCUGGAGCGAGUGCUUUUGUAUCAGGAUACUGUGUAUAUACUGAUCCAUUUUUAUUAUAUACUCAUGUUCUUUCUCCUAGCAGCUCUAUACUACUGGUUGUAGUGUUGUAUUAUUACAGGCACAGUUACAGCUUCGUUUCGUAUACGGAAAAAAUUUCUAUUUAUACGGCGGGUCUGUUGGCGUGCCCGAAGAAACGAGUAAUCCGGGGCGUGACAAGUGACAAAGUUAAAACUAAAGGUAUUAAAAUGAAUAUUCGAUAAAUUUAGGCGGAGUAUCUGAAGUUUUUUAUAUAUAAUUUAACGAAAUAUUAACGGCGAAACUGACGAAAAAAUAAAAAAAAAAACAACAUGACACUAACUUAAUAUUCUUUAAACCAUAGAAUACUAAAGUGAGAACGUGCGAAAUCACAUGAGUGGUAUCUAAAAU